rnacentral:rRNA from 1 species
GACGAACGCUGGCGGCGUGCUUAACACAUGCAAGUCGAACGGAAAGGCCCUGCUUUUGUGGGGUGCUCGAGUGGCGAACGGGUGAGUAACACGUGAGUAACCUGCCCUUGACUUUGGGAUAACUUCAGGAAACUGGGGCUAAUACCGGAUAGGAGCUCCUGCUGCAUGGUGGGGGUUGGAAAGUUUCGGCGGUUGGGGAUGGACUCGCGGCUUAUCAGCUUGUCGGUGGGGUAGUGGCUUACCAAGGCUUUGACGGGUAGCCGGCCUGAGAGGGUGACCGGCCACAUUAGGACUGAGAUACGGCCCAGACUCCUACGGGAGGCAGCAGUGGGGAAUAUUGCACAAUGGGCGGAAGCCUGAUGCAGCAACGCCGCGUGCGGGAUGACGGCCUUCGGGUUGUAAACCGCUUUCGCCUGUGACGAAGCGUGAGUGACGGUAAUGGGUAAAGAAGCACCGGCUAACUACGUG